AGGGUUAUAGUCAACAAUGAUUUGUGAUUUGCACUCACAAGGUGUUUUAAUUAAACUAACCUUA
rnacentral:tRNA from 1 species